UAUAAAAUUUAAUUUUUAUAUAUUAUCUUUGAGAAAGUCCUAACACUGCAACAAUUAUAGGGACACAUUUUUAGGACAACAGUGUGUAAGUAUCCAAUUUAUACCAAAAUUUUAAAAAAAAUCUAAUUGCUGGAGAAGUAUGUGCCAAACAUUAACAUGGACUUACAUAUAGCGACCCCACAUAUACAUCGUUUUUGCGAGCAGCACUUUUUUUGACCUAUAUCGAUAUUCAAAAGUGUCGCUAUACACCGUUUUUGUUGUAGUGUGAUAUUUUCAAAUAUAUCUCUACUGUUAGAAUCUGUUAUAAAAUUUUAGUUAAUCAUAGAUUAAAUACUUAAUUUUGCUUGGUUUUUGACAUUUUUACUUCUCUUAUAUUAUACUGUUAUGACUUUUAGAGGGACAUAUAUAUUUGUUAUGAUAAAAUUGAAAAUAUAAACAGUUUUCUAACUGUUCUCUAAUGGUAACAAACUAGAGAGACAUAUUUGAAAAUAUUAGAAUUUUUGCAUAAACAAUAUCUAAAAUCCGAAUUUUGUAAGAAUAUAUUUAUCAUUCACUAUAUUUACAGGGACCUAUAUAAAAUUAACCCAAUAAAUAAAUAAAUUGCUACACCAUUCUCAACCCGUAUCCAACGGUAUUCACAAAUUAUCAGUAAUUUCAUGGCAAAUGCUGUGACCAAAAUUCUGAACAGCUACAAUGGAAAUUCUCUGAAUCUGGCCGCUUUAGCCUGCGAUCCGCUAUCAAUCAUAUAAAUGAUGGUCUGGAUCAGAGCCAAUUGCAUCAGCCACAUGAAAACCAGCAUAC
rnacentral:lncRNA from 1 species